rnacentral:rRNA from 1 species
AGAGUUUGAUCCUGGCUCAGGAUGAACGCUGGCGGCGUGCCUAACACAUGCAAGUCGAACGGACUUUUCAUGAAGCCUAGCGAUUGAAAAGUUAGUGGCGGACGGGUGAGUAACGCGUGGGUAACCUGCCUUGUACUGGGGGACAACAGUUGGAAACGACUGCUAAUACCGCAUAAGCGCACAGCUUCGCAUGAAGCGGUGUGAAAAACUCCGGUGGUACAAGAUGGACCCGCGUCUGAUUAGCUGGUUGGUGAGGUAACGGCCCACCAAGGCGACGAUCAGUAGCCGGCCUGAGAGGGUGAACGGCCACAUUGGGACUGAGACACGGCCCAAACUCCUACGGGAGGCAGCAGUGGGGAAUUUUGGACAAUGGGGGCAACCCUGAUCCAGCCAUGCCGCGUGCGGGAAGAAGGCCUUCGGGUUGUAAACCGCUUUUGUUAGGAACGAAAAGGUUUCUGUGAACAACAGAGAUUGCUGACGGUACCUAAAGAAUAAGCACCGGCUAACUACGUGCCAGCAGCCGCGGUAAUACGUAGGGUGCGAGCGUUAAUCGGAAUUACUGGGCGUAAAGCGUGCGCAGGCGGUUGGGUAAGACAGGUGUGAAAUCCCCGAGCUUAACUUGGGAACUGCACUUGUGACUGCCUAACUAGAGUAUGUCAGAGGGAGGUGGAAUUCCAAGUGUAGCAGUGAAAUGCGUAGAUAUUUGGAAGAACACCGAUGGCGAAGGCAGCCUCCUGGGAUAAUACUGACGCUCAUGCACGAAAGCGUGGGGAGCAAACAGGAUUAGAUACCCUGGUAGUCCACGCCCUAAACGAUGUCAACUAGUUGUUGGGCCGCAUGGCUUAGUAACACAGCUAACGCGAGAAGUUGACCGCCUGGGGAGUACGGUCGCAAGAUUAAAACUCAAAGGAAUUGACGGGGACCCGCACAAGCGGUGGAUGAUGUGGAUUAAUUCGAUGCAACGCGAAAAACCUUACCUAGCCUUGACAUGCCAGGAAUCCUGAUGAAAGUUGGGAGUGCCCGCAAGGGAAUCUGGACACAGGUGCU